UCUAUACUUUGCAGCACUGUCUGAUGCGUC
rnacentral:piRNA from 2 species